rnacentral:rRNA from 1 species
UACAGAGGUCCCAAGCGUUGUUCGGAUUCAUUGGGCGUAAAGGGUGCGUAGGUGGCGCCAUAAGUCAGGUGUGAAAUUUCGGAGCUUAACUCCGAAACUGCAUUUGAUACUGUGGUGCUUGAGGACUGGAGAGGAGACUGGAAUUUACGGUGUAGCAGUGAAAUGCGUAGAGAUCGUAAGGAAGACCAGUGGCGAAGGCGGGUCUCGUGGACAGUUCCUGACACUGAGGCACGAAGGCCAGGGGAGCAAACGGG